rnacentral:rRNA from 1 species
AGCAGGCACGCAAAUUACCCACUCCCAGCUCGGGGAGGUAGUGACGAAAAAUAACAAUACGGGACUCAUCCGAGGCCCCGUAAUUGGAAUGAGAACAAUUCAAAUCCUUUAACGAGGAUCCAUUGGAGGGUAAGCCUGGUGCCAGCAACCGCGGUAAUUCCAGCUCCAAUAGCGUAUAUUAAAGUUGCUGCAGUUAAAAAGCUCGUAGUUGGAUCUCAGUUAUGGGCAGGUGGUUCACUCUACGGUGUUACUACCUGAACCGAACCUAUUGCUGGUUCUCUUGGUUGCCCUUCACUGGGUGGCCCUUGAGACCAGAGCGUUUACUUUGAGAAAAUUAGAGUGCUCAAAGCAGGCGAAUGCCGGAAUAGUUGUGCAUGGAAUAAUGAAACAAGGCCUCGGUGCCAUUUUGUUGGUUCUCGGUGCUCGAGGUAAUGGUUGAAAGGGACAGACGGGGGCAUUAGUAUUGCGACGUUAGAGGUGAAAUUCUUAGAUCGUCGCAAGACUAACUACUGCGAAAGCAUUUGCCAAGAAUGUCUUCAUUAAUCAAGAACGAAAGUCAGAGGUUCGAAGGCGAUCAGAUACCGCCCUAGUUCUGACCUUAAACGAUGCUAACUGGCGAUCCGGUGGGGGUACUUCAAUGACCUGCCGGGCAGCUUCUGGGAAACCAAAGUUUUUGGGUUCCGGGGGAAGUAUGGUUGCAAAGCUGGAACUUAAAGGAAUUGACGGAAGGGCACCACCAGGAGUGGAGCCUGUGGCUUAAUUUGACUCAACACGGGAAACCUCACCAGGCCCAGACACUAGAAGGAUUGACAGAUUGAGAGCUCUUUCUUGAUUUGGUGGAUGGUGGUGCAUGGCCGUUCUUAGUUGGUGGAGUGAUUUGUCUGGUUAAUUCCGAUAACGAACGAGACUCUGGCCUAUUAAAUAGGCAGCGGAUAAUUGUGGUCCGCGUUGUCUUCUU